rnacentral:rRNA from 1 species
AGAGUUUGAUCAUGGCUCAGGACGAACGCUGGCGGCGUGCUUAACACAUGCAAGUCGAGCGGUAAGGCCCUUCGGGGUACACGAGCGGCGAACGGGUGAGUAACACGUGAGUAAUCUGCCCUUCACUUUGGGAUAACUACCGGAAACGGUGGCUAAUACCGAAUAUGACCCCCUUCUGCAUGGUUGGGGGUGGAAAGCUCCGGCGGUGGAGGAUGUGCUCGCGGCCUAUCAGCUUGUUGGUGAGGUAAUGGCUCACCAAGGCUCCGACGGGUAGCCGGCCUGAGAGGGUGACCGGCCACACUGGGACUGAGACACGGCCCAGACUCCUACGGGAGGCAGCAGUGGGGAAUAUUGGACAAUGGGCGAAAGCCUGAUCCAGCAACGCCGCGUGAGGGAUGAAUGCCUUCGGGUUGUAAACCUCUUUCGCCUGCGACGAAGCGAGAGUGACGGUAGCAGGUAAAGAAGCACCGGCCAACUACGUGCCAGCAGCCGCGGUAAUACGUAGGGUGCGAGCGUUGUCCGGAAUUAUUGGGCGUAAAGGGCUCGUAGGCGGUUUGUCACGUCGGGAGUGAAAACUCAGGGCUUAACUCUGAGCUGGCUUUCGAUACGGGCAGACUAGAGGUAUGCAGGGGAGAACGGAAUUCCUGGUGUAGCGGUGAAAUGCGCAGAUAUCACGAGGAACACCGGUGGCGAAAGCGGU